GUUAGUUUGGAAAGAAUAGAAGAAGGAAUAGAUGUUCACUCAGACCAGUAGUUCUCAAAUAGGUCGAGUUGUUUCCUUGAUGAAUCCCAAUGUGUCUACCGAGAUGUUCCAGUUGAAGAUCUAAUAAUUAAAGGUCUCUUUACACCAGAGCUAAGAUCACGAAUAAAGGAGCAGCUUUGGGUCUGCAGAGAUUACAUAGGAAUGUAUGUUUCUGGCAGGUCAUUUGCCAUCUUUACAAGGAGUGUACAUGGAUGUCAUCAUUACAAAGGAUGUGAGAGGAAAAAUUUAUUCAAGAAGCACUUAUUAAAAUUUAAUCCACUGAGCUGGAUCCUUAAUUUACAUACUUGUUUGUAGAUUCUGUUUCUCUUUAAGUAUUUUAUAAAAAUUCAUAUGGAAUAUUUCUUAUAAUCCCAAGUUUAUUGUUGUUGUGGUCAGCCACUAAUUACUUGAAGAAUGUAAUAUAAAAUUGUUUAUCUUUUAUGAAAUCUCUUAGUUACCUUUUGAUACAGUUUGGCUGUGUACUCACCCAAGUCUCAUCUUGAAUUGUAGCUCUCAUAAUCCCCACGUGUUGUGGGAGGGACCUGAUGGGAAGUAAUUGAAUUAUAUGGGUGGGUUUUCCUAUGUUGUUCUUGUGAUAGUGAAUAAGUCUCAUGAGAUCUGAUGGUUUUAUAAAGGGCAGUUCCCCUGCACAUACUGUCUUGCUUGCUGCCAUGUAAAUGUGCCUUUGCUCCUCCUUCACCUUCUGGGAUGAUUGUGAGGCCUCCUUAGUCAUGAGGACUGUGCCAUUAAACCUCUUUUUCUUUAUUAAUUACCCAGCCUUGGGUAUUUCUUCAUAGUAGUAUAAAAAUGGACUAAUACAGUAAAUUGGUACUGGUAGAGUGGGGUACUGCUAUUAAGAUAUCUGAAAAUAUGGAAGCAACAUUGGAAUUGGGUAACAGGCAGAGGUUGGAACAAUUUGGAGGGCUGAGAAGAAGACAGGAAGAUGUGGGAAAGUUUGGAACUUCCUAGAGACUUGUUGAAUGGCUUUCACUAUAAUGCUGAUAGUAAUAUGGACAAUAAAAUCCUGGCUAAGGUGGUCUCAGAUUGAGAUGAGGAAUUUGUUGGAAACUGGAGUAAAGGUCACUCUUGCUAUGCAAAGAGAUGUGCUGCAUUUUACCCUCACCCUAGAGAUCUGUGGAACUUUGAACUUGAGAGAAAUGAUUUAGGGUAUCUGGUACAAGAAAUUUCUAAGCAGCAAAGUGUUCAUGAAGUAACAGUGCAUAAAAGUUUGGAAAAUUUGCAGCUUGACGAUGUGGUAGAACAAAAAGCCCAUUUUCUGGGGAGAAAUUCAAGCCACUGCAGAAAUUUGCAUAAGUAAUGAGGAACCAAAGGUUAAUCUCCAAGUCAAUGGGGAAAAUGUCUCCAGGGCAUAUGGAUAUGGUUUGACUGUGUCCCAACCCAAAUCUCAUCUGCUACCUAUAAUAGAUUUGUGAGUGUCUUAUCAAC
rnacentral:lncRNA from 1 species